GUGCCAGCAGCCGCGGUAAGACGAACUGUCCAAACGUUGUUCGGAAUCACUGGGCUUAAAGGGCGCGUAGGCGGUCGGCCAAGUCAGGGGUGAAAUCCUGCAGCUUAACUGUAGAAGUGCCUUUGAUACUGGUCGUCUCGAGGGAGGUAGGGGUGUGUGGAACUCACAGUGGAGCGGUGAAAUGCGUUGAUAUUGUGAGGAACGCCGGAGGCGAAAGCGACGCACUGGACCUCUUCUAACGCUGAGGCGCGAAAGCCAGGGGAGCAAACGGGAUUAGAUACCCCGGUAGUCC
rnacentral:rRNA from 1 species